GAUGAACGCUGGCGGCAUGCCUAAUACAUGCAAGUCGAACGAGAGGAAGGAAAGCUUGCUUUCCUGAAUCUAGUGGCGAACGGGUGAGUAACACGUAGGUAACCUGCCCAUGUGCCCGGGAUAACUUCUGGAAACGGAUGCUAAAACCGGAUAGGUAGCAGACAAGCAUUUGACUGCUAUUAAAGUGGCCUUGGCCAUGAACAUGGAUGGACCUGCGGUGCAUUAGCUAGUUGGUGAGGUAACGGCCCACCAAGGCGACGAUGCAUAGCCGGCCUGAGAGGACGGACGGCCACAUUGGGACUGAGACACGGCCCGAACUCCUACGGGAGGCAGCAGUAGGGGAUUUUCGUCAAUGGGGGGAACCCUGAACGAGCAAUGCCGCGUGAGUGAGGAAGGUCUUCGGAUAGUAAAGCUCUGUUGUAAGAGAAAAACGGCACUCAUAGGGAAUGAUGAGUGAGUGAUGGUAUCUUACCAGAAAGUCACGGCUAACUACGUGCCAGCCGCCGCCGUAAGAC
rnacentral:rRNA from 1 species